GCGCCUGUGGUAUAAUGGCAUUACCUCAGCCUUCCAAGCUGAAGAUGCGGGUUCGAUUCCCGUCGGGCGCU
rnacentral:tRNA from 1 species